rnacentral:rRNA from 1 species
CCUACGGGCGGCAGCAGUGGGGAAUAUUGGACAAUGGGGGCAACCCUGAUCCAGCCAUGCCGCGUGUGUGGAGAAGGCCCUCGGGUUGUAAAGCACUUUCAGUGAGGAAGAACGCCUGGUGGUUAAUACCCAUCAGGAAAGACAUCACUCACAGAAGAAGCACCGGCUAACUCCGUGCCAGCAGCCGCGGUAAUACGGAGGGUGCGAGCGUUAAUCGGAAUUACUGGGCGUAAAGCGCGCGUAGGUGGCUUGAUAAGCCGGUUGUGAAAGCCCCGGGCUCAACCUGGGAACGGCAUCCGGAACUGUCAAGCUAGAGUGCAGGAGAGGAAGGUAGAAUUCCCGGUGUAGCGGUGAAAUGCGUAGAGAUCGGGAGGAAUACCAGUGGCGAAGGCGGCCUUCUGGACUGACACUGACACUGAGGUGCGAAAGCGUGGGUAGCAAACAGGAUUAGAUACCCUAGUAGUC